UUUCACUGUGCCUUCAGUACAGUGCAUAUCAAGUGGCUUGUGCAUGAAUGGCACAGUCCAAGCAUCACUGUGCCUCUAAGAGAGUGCUGUAUCUCUUCUCACCCUCCUAUUUGCGCUGAGAAAGAGAAGUGGUUUUUGUUAGUCCCCGAAGUAAUCCUUCAUCCGUGUGAAAGUGGAAUGCUAAAAGAACAAGUUGACAACAGCACCAGAAAAUAAGGUGAAAAUAUGUCACCAUUUAGUGAGUACAACCUGAUAACAGACCAACAUAACAGACCACGUGAGAGGAGAAAAAGCAGUCUUCAGCUGUGAGCUGUGUACGUACACCUCACUCAAGAGAUCGAGUCGGAACUGUCACAGGAAAAUCCAUUCUGAAGAAAAAUGUCAUGUGUCUCAAGGCUUUUCAAACAGCUGCUCUCCUGCAGAACCAUGUGAAUGUCCAUACAGCAGCGUGGUGUGCACAAGCAUCCUGAAAACUGUGGAUUGGUGAGGGCCAAAACUGCUACGCCCAGAAAAAGAAGCAAGGACAGAAGGAAAGAAAGUGAGAAUGAAAAGCAUGCUAAGCAAAAAGAUGUCUCUACUGUGAAGAGUGAACAUUGUGCCAGAGAGAUUGCUCCUCAUUUAGAAGGAACAGAGGGAACAGCUUUGAAAGCAGAAGACAGAAGCACCUUGUGAGAUGGCUGUGAUGGACUGACAUCUGAAGGUUACUGGGAAGCUUCACCUCUUUUAUUCCAUUCACACAACAGAACGAAGAAAAUGAGCUAAAUUUGAAAGCUUGCUGUUGGUUGGACUUCUCAGCUUGUUGCCCAUCCUUCCCAACACCAGAUGUUAGGAAACAUGUGACAGCAGCAUGGUUUGGACUGAAUGUAGCAGCAUGGCUCAAUCAGUCAAUAAGGAAAGGAAGAACAAACACUCAUCAAAUUCAAUGUUGAUAUGGAUAUCUUUACUUGAAAUGGUGGUGAUGCUGCUGGAAUCUGCUGAGAAGCAACGCCUUGAGACUGACUCCUCCACACCUGUGGAGUCUCAGGGCCAACCAUUGCCCAUGCUGGUGAGCUUUGGGGAGGAGCAGGUCAGACAGAGCCACAGCACUCUAUUACAGAAGCCUUGUGACCAAGACAGAUGCCAGUAGCUGGAAACUUGGCAAACUAAAUAAAAAAGAAAAAAAAGUGGAACUCUGUUCAUCUCUCAUGUACUGAUUGCUCCCUCGUGUGACACUUCUAAAUUGUGAUGGACACAGUGCAAAUGUUCUGAAGUGAUGUUGCCCUUUUAUGUCUGUGACUAAAAAAUCCACUGAAGGCAGUGGGGAUGCAGAGGCACGUGGAGCUGAAGGUGUCUCAGCAGAAUGUGAGAGCCCAGUGACUGUGUUCAGUGCUUCAGUGUUUGAUUCAGCCAUUCCCAGCACAGCGGACUGCAGGACUGGGUGAGGACUUGACAAUCUCCCCCAUCCCAGCUCCCUGGAGCACCAAAGUUUUGACACACACACGUGAGCUGUGCAAACUCUAUUACAAUUUAAUUCUAUCAGUGGUUCUGCAGGGGGACUGCAUUAAAAUACUUUGUUAGCUGUGCACCUUUGCUUUCCCCAGCAAGUCCUGGAUAACUGUGCUGAGAGGGUGCGUUCAUGCAAAGUUCCCAUUAAAACUCAUUAAAAAUUGCCAUCUGUGGCACUGCAUGAAAGGGGGUUGAGGGCAGGGGCUGAGUCCUGGGUGGCACUGACCCCGUGAGGAGCGCUCCUUGGGUUUCUGCAGGCGAGGCAGGCCCUGUGCAGGCACCCAGCUGGCAACUGUCC
ensembl:lncRNA